rnacentral:rRNA from 1 species
CCUACGGGAGGCAGCAGUGGGGAAUAUUGCGCAAUGGGGGAAACCCUGACGCAGCAACGCCGCGUGAGCGAAGAAGGCCUUCGGGUCGUAAAGCUCUGUCAUCAGGGACGAAGGCUACUACAUGAAAAAGGUAGUAGGUGACGGUACCUGAGGAGGAAGCCCCGGCUAACUACGUGCCAGCAGCCGCGGUAAUACGUAGGGGGCAAGCGUUGUCCGGAAUUACUGGGCGUAAAGGGCGUGUAGGCGGUUACCUAAGUCAGGGGUGAAAACUGACGGCUCAACCGGAAGAUUGCACCUGAAACUGGGUGGCUGGAGGGCAGGAGAGGGAAGUGGAAUUCCUAGUGUAGGGGUGAAAUGCGUAGAUAUUAGGAGGAACACCAGUGGCGAAGGCGGCUUUCUGGCCUGACCCUGACGCUGAGGCGCGAAAGCGUGGGGAGCAAACAGGAUUAGAUCCCCGGGUAGU